UACGUAGGUGGCAAGCGUUGUUCGGAAUUAUUGGGCGUAAAGGGCGCGUAGGCGGUCAGCACAAGUCAGUUGUGAAAUCUCCGGGCUUAACUCGGAAAGGUCAACUGAUACUGUGCGACUAGAGUGCAGAAGGGGCAACUGGAAUUCUCGGUGUAGCGGUGAAAUGCGUAGAUAUCGAGAGGAACACCUGCGGCGAAGGCGGGUUGCUGGGCUGACACUGACGCUGAGGCGCGAAAGCCAGGGGAGCGAACGGG
rnacentral:rRNA from 1 species